ACCUUCUCUCAAUCUCUGUGCUAAAAAAUCACACUUUCCCACCCAAUCCCAAUUCUAUACCCAAUAUACCCAUUCAGUCACUUUCUCUCUCAAAUCUGGGUUCACAAUAGGAGAUAAAGAGAUGGUGUCCUUGGUGCUUUACAGGUAUUCGCAUUAAGAAGUAUGUGAAGGUUCGACAUGGGGAAGACAUUGGAGUUAGAUUUUUUCCGUUGAGGUCUCUUGUGAUGGUUCGGAGAUCAAGCCGAUUCUUAUCCUAGUUACACCGAAAUUUGUUGCCAUCGUCACCAUCUACAGCUUCGCCAUCUGUACCACCGGACCACCCUUCUUCUCCUCGUUUUGAACCCACCGGAAGUGUGAAGAAAUGGUUCUUCCCAUUUGCGAGGCAACGUAUAUGUCCACUAUAAGUCGUUGGAUUCAGCUGUGAUGGCUUACAGUUCUGUACAUGGUCGUUAUUUUACUGGCAAACAGGCAUGAUGACUGCUAGCAAUUUCAAAGGGCUUAACGCUAUGGCAGUGAUUUGGAAAUGUAACUGCAAGUAGCACAACUACCAGCGAUAAGUAUUUCAGAUAUAGCGGUUCCCUUACAACUCCUCCAUGCUCGGAGGGUAUCACUUGGACAGUUGCCGAAAAGGUCAAAACAAUUUCAAAGGACCAAAUUGCUAAAAGGGGCUGUUGAUCAUGAAUUUCAACAUAAUGCAAGGCCUGUCCAAGAUCUUAAUGGAAGAACAGUUACACAAUUUGAAGACAGAGUUAAAUGUGAGUUUGUUAGUCUAACUAGAUGGAAGGUUGCCAUAUGCUGGGAGUACAUGAAAGCAAGGCUCAAGGAAUCUCUCACAAUCGGUUGAUUUUACUUUCAAUUUGUACUCGGAUCAUGCGACUUUGGUGUUGAAGGUGCAUACAGGCUGAUUCGGCGAUCUAGGGUUCGGUCGACGGUUUCAAGGAUAAUGAUUUAGGGCUGUUUAGGGUGGUUACACUAAUUAUUUAGCAGCAAAAAAAAAAGACGACGAUGAUAUGGUCUUCUGAUAAUAUAGGGUGUUAAAAUAAUGAGAUUAUUCAUGGUCUUCUGUCUUCUGAUCAUUUAGGGUCAUGUUGUCAUCAAAGUUCGUUGCCAGGUACAAACUUUCAUGUUGGUGAUGACAUGUAGGAGAGUAGGAAAAGCUUCAAAAAAUUCAAGCAUAAUUAGAGAGAGAACGAGAGGCCUGACAAAACAUAGAAUCCCGUUUUGAAAAAUUUCAACAAGAGCGCGAAAAAGAGCGGACUGACCAAGCGGCAUGGCAAAAAACUACGGAAGAAAAACUGAAAAACAACGAAAAUAAGUAAAAACUUUCGUCUUGUUAAGUAUUGAAAUGUUAAAGAUUGGAUGAAUGCUUUUAAUAAGGAUUUUUUGUGCGUUUUGUAAUGUUUUAGAAUUUUUCGAAUGUUUGGAAUGUCUCAUAAUGUUGCUUUAAUAUUUUUGGAA